CCCGCUGAGUUUAAGCAUAUAAAUAAGCGAAGGAGAAGAAACUUAGAAGGAUUCCCCAAGUAAUGGCGAGCAACCGGGAGCAGCCCAGCUUGAGAAUCGUGCGACUGUGCCGUCCGAAUUGUAGUAUGGAGAGGCGUCCUCAACGACGAACCGGGCCCAUGUCCCCUGGAAAGGGGCGCCUCGGAGGGUGAGAGCCCCGUCCGGCCCGGACCCUAUCGCCCCACGAGGCGCCGUCAACGAGUCGGGUUGUUUGGGAAUGCAGCCCAAAUCAAUCGGUAGACUCCGUCCAAGGCUAAAUACAGGCGAGAGACCGAUAGCGAACAAGUACCGCGAGGGAAAGAUGAAAAGGACUUUGAAAAGAGAGUCAAAGAGUGCUUGAAAUUGCCGGGAGGGAAGCGGAUGGGCGCCGGCGAUGCGCCCCGGCCGUAUGCGG
rnacentral:ncRNA from 1 species